GAUGAACGCUGACGGCGUGCCUAAUACAUGCAAGUCGAGCGAACAGACGAGGAGCUUGCUCCUCUGACGUUAGCGGCGGACGGGUGAGUAACACGUGGAUAACCUACCUAUAAGACUGGGAUAACUUCGGGAAACCGGAGCUAAUACCGGAUAAUAUAUUGAACCGCAUGGUUCAAUAGUGAAAGACGGUUUUGCUGUCACUUAUAGAUGGAUCCGCGCCGCAUUAGCUAGUUGGUAAGGUAACGGCUUACCAAGGCAACGAUGCGUAGCCGACCUGAGAGGGUGAUCGGCCACACUGGAACUGAGACACGGUCCAGACUCCUACGGGAGGCAGCAGUAGGGAAUCUUCCGCAAUGGGCGAAAGCCUGACGGAGCAACGCCGCGUGAGUGAUGAAGGUCUUCGGAUCGUAAAACUCUGUUAUUAGGGAAGAACAAAUGUGUAAGUAACUAUGCACGUCUUGACGGUACCUAAUCAGAAAGCCACGGCUAACUACGU
rnacentral:rRNA from 1 species